rnacentral:rRNA from 1 species
UACGGAGGGUGCAAGCGUUAAUCGGAAUUACUGGGCGUAAAGCGCACGUAGGUGGUUUGUUAAGCUAGCUGUGAAAUCCCCGGGCUCAACCUGGGCACUGCAGUUAGAACUGGCAAGCUAGAGUAGGGUAGAGGGGUGUGGAAUUCCAGGUGUAGCGGUGAAAUGCGUAGAUAUCUGGAGGAACAUCAGUGGCGAAGGCGACACCCUGGACUCAUACUGACACUGAGGAGCGAAAGCCAGGGGAGCAAACGGG